rnacentral:rRNA from 1 species
UCAGGCCUAACACAUGCAAGUCAAACGACAAAUUUUUUUGUAGUGGCGGACGGGUGAGUAACACGUAAGAACCUGCCUUUAGGAGGGGGAUACCAUCUGGGAAACUGGUGCUAAUACCCCAUAUGCUGGGAAGUGAAAAGGUAUUUAACCGCCUAGAGAGGGGCUUGCGGCUGAUUAGCUAGUUGGUAGGGUAAUGGCCUCCCAAGGCGACGAUCAGUAGCUGGUUUGAGAGGAUGAUCAGCCACACUGGGACUGAGACACGGCCCAGACUCCUACGGGAGGCAGCAGUGAGGAAUUUUCCGCAAAGGGCGAAAGCCUGACGGAGCAAUACCGCGGGAAAAAAAGAGAGACCUGUGGGUUGUAAACUCCUUUUCUCAGAGAAGAA